UACGGAGGUGGCAAGCGUUGCUCGGAAUCACUGGGCGUAAAGGGCGCGUAGGCGGUGCUCUAAGUCGGAUGUGAAAACUCUGGGCUCAACCCAGAGCCUGCAUCCGAAACUGGAGUGCUAGAGUUCUGGAGGGGGUAGCGGAAUUCCUGGUGUAGCGGUGAAAUGCGUAGAUAUCAGGAGGAACACCGGUGGCGAAGGCGGCUACCUGGACAGAAACUGACGCUGAGGCGCGAAAGCUAGGGGAGCAAACAGG
rnacentral:rRNA from 1 species